GACUUGGUCGAAGCUCCUCAGG
rnacentral:miRNA from 1 species